GAAUACCUUACCAAUGCCUAACCAAGCCAUCUCCUCCUCUCCUCUGAACACCGGAGCUUUACCUCAUCGCUGGAGCCGUGGCGGCGUCAUUCUGAGCCGGCGCCGACGCACCGAACCUCAAGGUGGGGCAUAUAUGAGAUCCAUUCUAUGAAUGUGCAUGAGCAAAUGCUUCGGUUGUGUUGAAGAAACUUUGAUGUAAAAAUUAUUCCGCAAUCUAAAUCGUAUGCUAAUGAAAAAACUCCUGAAUGAAAAACUUAAUGAAUUUGAAGCUAAAAGAUAUGGCUCAAUGGCAGCUUUGACUUCUGCAAGAUAUCAAGAUCCCUUAAAUUUACAGGGUGUGCCUUUGUGCUGUCAACCAAAGGGUAAAUUGUAGGUGUAGAAUGGAAUUUUUAAAGUUCUGAAGAAAUCAGAGGUACGCGAGGAAGCACAACAGCAAGAGUAUUGAGUCUGCUACUGAGGAAGAGUAGAGGAAUGGACAAACACAAAGACAAUCAGACAUGAACUCGUUAUUUGCGCUUAAGCCUUGAUGCUGGAAAAUAAUGAGUAUUUAUAUAUUUUUUAAUUUAAGAAAUAAAAUGAAAUUAGAUGAAGGAUUGCUUUAUAGGUUGGUCAAGAAUUUUUUUGAGAAGUUGAAUUGUGGAAUCCCGAAUGGGAUUUCACGUGAGAUUAUAGGCAUUUUGUAUGGAUGGUGAUUUUAGUGAUGAAAAAUAUAUAUAUUUAAAAUUUACUCGGCAAGUUAGUGAGACCUAAA